rnacentral:misc_RNA from 1 species
GAUGAAGAACGUAGCGAAAUGCGAUAAGUAAUGUGAAUUGCAGAAUUCAGUGAAUCAUCGAAUCUUUGAACGCACAUUGCGCCCGUCAGUAUUCUGGCGGGCAUGCCUGUUCGAGCGUCAUUUCAACCAUCAAGCCCCCGGCUUGUGUUGGGGACCUGCGGCUGCCGCAGGCCCUGAAAACCAGUGGCGGGCUCGCUAGUCACUCCGAGCGUAGUAAUACAUCUCGCUCAGGGCGUGCUGCGGGUUCCGGCCGUUAAAAAAGCCUUAUUUACCCAAGGUUGACCUCGGAUCAGGUAGGAAGACCCGCUGAACUUAAGCAUAUCAAUAAGCGGAGGA